rnacentral:rRNA from 1 species
CCGCUGAAAGCAUCUAAGCGGGAAACUUGCCUCAAGAUGAGAUCUCACUGGAGCCUUGAGCUCCCUGAAGGGCCGUCGAAGACUACGACGUUGAUAGGUGGGGUGUGUAAGCGCUGUGAGGCGUUGAGCUAACCCAUACUAAUUGCCCGUGAGGCUUGACCAU